AAUGAACGCUGGCGGCGUGCUUAACACAUGCAAGUCGCACGAGAAAGCCUUGGCUUGCCAGGGCGAGUAAAGUGGCGCACGGGUGAGUAACGCGUGGGUAAUCUACCCCUGAAUUUGGGAUAACAGCUCGAAAGGGCUGCUAAUACCGGAUAACAUCAUAGUUUCUUCGGCGAUUAUGAUCAAAGGUGGCCUCUACAUGUAAGCUACUGUUUGGGGAUGAGCUCGCGUACCAUUAGCUUGUUGGUAGGGUAACGGCCUACCAAGGCUACGAUGGUUAGCUGGUCUGAGAGGAUGAUCAGCCACACUGGAACUGACACACGGUCCAGACUCCUACGGGAGGCAGCAGUGAGGAAUUUUGCGCAAUGGGGGAAACCCUGACGCAGCAACGCCGCGUGAGUGAUGAAGGCCUUCGGGUCGUAAAACUCUGU
rnacentral:rRNA from 1 species